rnacentral:lncRNA from 1 species
GGUUCUGAGCUCCAGAAUCUUGCUAUUUGCUGCUAUCCCCUCCUCCAUUCACAAGAAUCUUUGGCACCCCUCCCCAUCAACCUCUGGUCCCCCAUCCCUGACCCCAAAGCCCCAGGGGUGGGGUGCAGAGAGGGUGGGUCUCCCCUCUUCAAUUCCUCCUAUUGUUCCCCAGAAAUCUUAUCUGGGUCCUACGUCCUGUCUCCCCAUUACAGAUCCCUCCCUUCAUUGUCAGCCAGAGGGACCUGGGGCCCACAGGGAGACUCCAGCAUCUCCUCACCCUCCCACCCCAGCAGUCUAUUGUCUGCUGAGGAAGCCCCAGUACACGUGAUGGAACCCAGGGGACAAACGGACACAGUGGACAUACAGAUGCACAGGACCAGAACAGGGCAUGUGAAUCUCUGUAUGUUUGACUCUGUGUUCCAGGGGCUGUGCCAGAAGUUGGUAGGGGUGAAGACCCCUUUGGACUCUCCACUCUUGGAUCUGGGUUUGAAGAAAAUCUCUGCCUGUGCAGCAUGGACAUGCCCUAUGACCUCCCAGAAAGCAAAGAAGACCCAAGUCAGGAAGGGGCUCAAAACUCCAGGCUCUUCUUUACCUUCCCGUUCUACAUCAGCAGAACACAGAGGCCUCAGAAGGAAAGGUAUAUUGGGUAUUUUGUGCUUUAGUAUCUGGGUAUUUGAAGAAUGAUGGGAAGUCACAGGAUACUGAGUCUUCUGGUGGGUCUAGACCAGAGGGUGAAUGGGAAGGAAAGAAGGGUUGGAUAAAAGGGAGAAUACAUCGAAAAUAAUGUAGGGUUUUCUAGUGGCCCAAAGUCCCAACUCUGGUUUGUGAGAUGCUGCAACUGCAGUUAAGGACAAAGAUAACAGUAUCUUUUAUCUUAUACCUUGUGCCCUGCUCCUUUCACCAAACCCCUCCUAAAAUAACGGGGGCCAGCUGAUCUUUUCCAUAACACUUCAUA